AGAGUUUGAUCAUGGCUCAGGAUGAACGCUAGCGGGAGGCCUAACACAUGCAAGCCGAGCGGUAUUGUUCUUCGGAAAUGAGAGAGCGGCGUACGGGUGCGGAACACGUGUGUAACCUGCCUUUAUCUGGGGGAUAGCCUUUCGAAAGGAAGAUUAAUACUCCAUAAUAUAUUGAACGGCAUCGUUUAAUAUUGAAAGCUCCGGCGGAUAGAGAUGGGCACGCGCAAGAUUAGCUAGUUGGUGAGGUAACGGCUCACCAAGGCGAUGAUCUUUAGGGGGCCUGAGAGGGUGAUCCCCCACACUGGUACUGAGACACGGACCAGACUCCUACGGGAGGCAGCAGUGAGGAAUAUUGGUCAAUGGGUGCAAGCCUGAACCAGCCAUCCCGCGUGAAGGACGACUGCCCUAUGGGUUGUAAACUUCUUUUGUAUAGGGAUAAACCUACCCUCGUGAGGGUAGCUGAAGGUACUAUACGAAUAAGCACCGGCUAACUCCGUG
rnacentral:rRNA from 1 species